AACGCGAAGAACCUUACCUGGCCUUGACAUGCUGAGAACUUUCCAGAGAUGGAUUGGUGCCUUCGGGAACUCAGACACAGGUGCUGCAUGGCUGUCGUCAGCUCGUGUCGUGAGAUGUUGGGUUAAGUCCCGCAACGAGCGCAACCCUUGUCCCGUGUUGCCAGCAGGCCCUUGUGGUGCUGGGGACUCACGGGAGACCGCCGGGGUCAACUCGGAGGAAGGUGGGGACGACGUCAAGUCAUCAUGCCCCUUAUGUCUUGGGCUGCACACGUGCUACAAUGGCCGGUACAAUGAGCUGCGAUACCGCGAGGUGGAGCGAAUCUCAAAAAGCCGGUCUCAGUUCGGAUUGGGGUCUGCAACUCGACCCCAUGAAGUUGGAGUCGCUAGUAAUCGCAGAUCAGCAACGCUGCGGUGAAUACGUUCCCGGGCCUUGUACACACCG
rnacentral:rRNA from 1 species